GCUAGGAAGAGGAAGAAUGGGUGCCCAAGAGCAGUCGGCAUGAGAACAUGGAGGAAAGUCCGAACUAUCUUUACCUAUGAAAAUUCAAGGGUUUAGAUCAGUUUAGGUAUUUUCCCGAUGCCUCUCAUGCCUAUUGUUCUUAGGCGCUCCUUCCUCUUCCUUCAUGCC
rnacentral:pre_miRNA from 1 species